rnacentral:rRNA from 1 species
UACGUAGGGUGCGAGCGUUAAUCGGAAUUACUGGGCGUAAAGCGUGCGCAGGCGGUUUUGUAAGCCAGAUGUGAAAUCCCCGGGCUUAACCUGGGAAUGGCAUUUGGGACUGCAAGGCUUGAGUGCGGCAGAGGAGACUGGAAUUCCUGGUGUAGCAGUGAAAUGCGUAGAUAUCAGGAGGAACACCGAUGGCGAAGGCAGGUCUCUGGGCUGACACUGACGCUCAUGCACGAAAGCGUGGGG